UCGCAUGCCAGUAGGGUCAGGGUUUCUGAUGUUAAUUUGGUGCUUUUUUGGGUCAAAAAGUGAAUUUGCAUUUCUUCUUAAAUCUUCCUCUGUACAAAUGGACAUUCAGAAGACAAAUUAAGCACAUAGCUAUGAGCAAAGAAGAGGCCUUUACUGUGGAGUUUACAGACGCAGGGCCAGGGGCUCUUAAAAAUCUAUUUUUCUGGGCACUAGGCAAACUAAGGGCAUGUCUAUGUCAAAUGAUCAAAGAGGCAUCCUGUAUAUUUUAAUUUCAUGAUCUUGAUACAUGCAUACAGGUAUUGGGAUUUGAUUAACUUUUGAACAUUAAAGAUUUUUUUUCUUUUUUUUACAGAUACUAAGUAUGGAUGAUGAUCAGAACUGGUUCAAAGCAGAACUAGAUGGUAAAGAGGGAUAUGUACCAAAUAACUAUAUAGAAAUGAAACCACACCCGUAAGUAUGAAAUAGCUUGCAAACAUCACCACUCCCUUCAGAGGACACCCCCACCCCCCAAAAAAAAAUAUAAAUAAAGUUGAUGUUGAAAAUUAAGUACCCUUUCAAUUGAAAGUUUGAAGUAUUAGUUAUGCAACAUUAUUCAUAAAUUUUCAGUCUGCCAAAUUGUUCACAAUUAUUUCUAUUUUGGUCAGUGAUUUAAAAUGUCAUUGAAAUCACCCCACCACCUUGAAAUCAUUGCAGCUAAUGUUGUGUCCAGAUGAUUUGUUAUUAUUAUCUGAACAUUUCAUUGAUACCAAAUAUGGACACUUUGACAUAUAAAGAAGCUUCAUUUCCUCAAUGAAUGCAGUAAAGUUGAAGGUUAGGGAAAACAAAAUUAGGAUCUAAUUAAGACUUACCGGUAUUUACAGACACAUAGAGGUGUUAACAGAAAAUGGGAAAUAUUAAUUCCAAGUAUGGAAAUGACACAAUAGGGUGUUAACUAUUAUUAUAUGUAUAAAUAAGUUUUUUGCUAAUCUAUAAUUAAUAAAUGAGAUGUGGAAAUGUUUGCAUCAUUUUCAAGUGGGCUAUCUAUAAAUGCAAAAUAUAGGUGACAGUCAUAAUUAGUUUAUGAUGCCUGUUAUCUUUAAUGAUUAUAAAAUUUUCAUAGUAGAAAGAUGU
rnacentral:misc_RNA from 1 species